rnacentral:rRNA from 1 species
GAGAAGAUAGUGGCGAACGGGUGAGUAACACGUGGGUAACCUGCCCAUAAGAGGGGGAGUAACAUCCGGAAACGGGUGCUAAUACCGCAUAGUUUUCUUGAUCGCAUGAUCGGGAAAGGAAAGACGGCCUUUGUGCUGUCGCUUAUGGAUGGACCCGCGGCGUAUUAGUUAGUUGGUGAGGUAACGGCUCACCAAGACGAUGAUACGUAGCCGACCUGAGAGGGUGAUCGGCCACAUUGGGACUGAGACACGGCCCAAACUCCUACGGGAGGCAGCAGUAGGGAAUCUUCCGCAAUGGACGAAAGUCUGACGGAGCAACGCCGCGUGAGUGAAGAAAAGGUUUUCGGAUCGUAAAACUCUGUUGUCAGAGAAGAACAAGUUGGAGAGUAACUGCUCCAGCCUUGACGGUAUCUGACCAGAAAGCCACGGCUAACUACGUGCCAGCCGCCGC